GGGGAAUUUUCCGCAAUGGGCGCAAGCCUGACGACGCAACGCCGCGUGGAGGAUGAAGAUUUUCGGAUCGUAAACUCCUGUCGAAUGGGACGAAUGGCUCGGCCGUGAAUAACGGCCGGGAAUGACGGUACCGUGAGAGGAAGCCCCGGCUAACUCCGUGCCAGCAGCCGCGGUAAUACGGGGGGGGCAAGCGUUGUUCGGAAUUACUGGGCGUAAAGGGCUCGUAGGUGGCCACCUAAGUCCGACGUGAAAUCCCUCGGCUCAACCGGGGAACUGCGUCGGAUACUGGGUGGCUUGAAUCCGGGAGAGGGACGUGGAAUUCCAGGUGUAGCGGUGAAAUGCGUANAUAUCUGNAGGAACACCGGNGGCGAAGGCGGCGUCCUGGACCGGUAUUGACACUGANGAGCGAAAGCCAGGGGAGCAAAAGGGAUUAGAUACCCCAGUAGUC
rnacentral:rRNA from 1 species